rnacentral:rRNA from 1 species
CCUACGGGAGGCAGCAGUGAGGAAUAUUGGUCAAUGGACGCGAGUCUGAACCAGCCAAGUAGCGUGAAGGAUGACUGCCCUAUGGGUUGUAAACUUCUUUUAUAAAGGAAUAAAACGAGGCACGUGUGCCUUUUUGCAUGUACUUUAUGAAUAAGGAUCGGCUAACUCCGUGCCAGCAGCCGCGGUAAUACGGAGGAUCCGAGCGUUAUCCGGAUUUAUUGGGUUUAAAGGGAGCGUAGAUGGGUUGUUAAGUCAGUUGUGAAAGUUUGCGGCUCAACCGUAAAAUUGCAAUUGAUACUGGCAGUCUUGAGUACAGGUGAGGUAGGCGUAAUUCAUGGUGUCGCGGUUCCAUGC